GGGCCCGUCGUCUAGCCUGGUUAGGACGCCGCCCUGACGUGUCUGGGUAGGCUUAGAAAGGCGGAGGUCCGGGGUUCAAAUCCCCGCGGGCCCA
rnacentral:tRNA from 1 species